GGUCUUAUGGUGUAAUGGUUAGCACUCUGGACUUUGAAUCCAGCGAUCCGGGUCGAGUCCCGGUAGGACCU
rnacentral:tRNA from 1 species